GCAAAUAUAACCGGUGUGACAUCACAUCGCAUAAUGACAUUUUGAAAACGCAAUAUUUUACCUUGAUAAAAUGGUAUUCGUUAAGAAAACUAUACUUUUCUGAAAACUCAUUGUGUGAUGUGAUGUCACACCGGUGAUAUUUGC